rnacentral:rRNA from 1 species
UUUCCCUACGGGAGGCAGCAGUGGGGAAUAUUGGACAAUGGGGGGAACCCUGAUCCAGCGACGCCGCGUGAGUGAAGAAGUAUUUCGGUAUGUAAAGCUCUAUCAGCAGGGAAGAAAAUGACGGUACCUGACUAAGAAGCCCCGGCUAACUACGUGCCAGCAGCCGCGGUAAUACGUAGGGGGCAAGCGUUAUCCGGAUUUACUGGGUGUAGAGGGAGCGUAGACGGCAGCGCAAGUCUGGAGUGAAAUGCCGGGGCUCAACCCCGGAACUGCUUUGGAAACUGUGCAGCUAGAGUGCGGGAGAG